rnacentral:rRNA from 1 species
GUAAGGAAUAUUGGUCAAUGGGGGCAACCCUGAACCAGCCAUGCCGCGUGAAGGAUGAAGGCGUUAUGCGUUGUAAACUUCUUUUGUAUGGGAAGAAUGACAGGGAUUCAUCCUUGGAGAGACGGUACCAUACGAAUAAGCACCGGCUAACUCCGUGCCAGCAGCCGCGGUAAUACGGAGGGUGCAAGCGUUAUCCGGAUUCACUGGGUUUAAAGGGUGUGUAGGCGGGCUUGUAAGUCAGGGGUGAAAUCCUACAGCUUAACUGUAGAACUGCCUUUGAUACUAUAGGUCUUGAAUAUUGUUGAGGUGGGCGGAAUACAUCAUGUAGCGGUGAAAUGCUUAGAUAUGAUGUAGAACACCGAUUGCGAAGGCAGCUCACUAAGCAAAUAUUGACGCUGAGGCACGAAAGCGUGGGGAUCAAACAGGAUUAGAAACCCUAGUAGUCC